rnacentral:SRP_RNA from 1 species
UUUAUGGUCCCGGGUGACGCGACGGCUGUGAACCCCGCCAGGCCCGGAAGGGAGCAACGGUAGCGGACAUAGCGGGUGCCUGGGGCCACCUUUUUUCA